AAUUGCCCGUGGUAUCUAAUGUCCAAUCCUUUUUAAUGACUGGACGUUUCGUUUUGAGGGCAUAGAGUAAUUAUACACAGGUCUUGCGACACAGUUAGCUUCUUGCAAUGUAUAAGCUUUCUGUUACUAAAUCCCUGCGUACAUGU